GACGGGGGGAGCAAGCGUUGUUCGGAAUCACUGGGCGUAAAGGGCGUGUAGGCGGCCAGGUAAGUGAGAUGUGAAAUUCCCCGGCUCACCCGGGGACGUGCAUCUCAUACUGCUUGGCUUGAGUACGGGAGAGGAUGUGGGAAUUCCUGGUGUAGCGGUGAAAUGCGUAGAUAUCAGGAGGAACACCGGUGGCGAAAGCGCACAUCUGGCCCGAUACUGACGCUGAGGCGCGAAAGCUAGGGGAGCAAACGGG
rnacentral:rRNA from 1 species